rnacentral:ncRNA from 2 species
UAACUGGCUUGUGGCCGCCAAGCGUUCAUAGCGACGUGGCUUUUUGAUCCUUCAGUGUCGGCUCUUUCUAUCAUUGUGAAGCAAAAUUCACCAAGCGUAGGAUUGUUCACCCUUUCAAGGGAACGUGAGCUGGGUUUAGACCGUCGUGAGACAGGUU